GAUGAACGCUGGCGGCGUGCCUAAUACAUGCAAGUCGAGCGAACGGACGAGAAGCUUGCUUCUCUGAUGUUAGCGGCGGACGGGUGAGUAACACGUGGAUAACCUACCUAUAAGACUGGGAUAACUUCGGGAAACCGGAGCUAAUACCGGAUGAUAUUUUGAACCGCAUGGUUCAAAAGUGAAAGACGGUCUUGCUGUCACUUAUAGAUGGAUCCGCGCUGCAUUAGCUAGUUGGUAAGGUAACGGCUUACCAAGGCAACGAUGCAUAGCCGACCUGAGAGGGUGAUCGGCCACACUGGAACUGAGACACGGUCCAGACUCCUACGGGAGGCAGCAGUAUGGUAUCUUCCGCAAUGGUCGAAAGCCUUGCGGAGCAACGCCGCGUGAGUGAUGAAGGUCUUCGGAUCGUAAAACUCUGUUAUGAGGGAAGAACAUCUGUGUAAGUAACUGUGCACAUCUUGACGGUACCUAAUCAGAAAGCCACGGCUAACUACGUG
rnacentral:rRNA from 1 species